rnacentral:rRNA from 1 species
CCUACGGGAGGCAGCAGUGAGGAAUAUUGGUCAAUGGCCGAGAGGCUGAACCAGCCAAGUCGCGUGAGGGAAGACGGCCCUACGGGUUGUAAACCUCUUUUGUCGGGGAGCAAAGCGAGUCACGUGUGACUCAUUGCGAGUACCCGAAGAAAAAGCAUCGGCUAACUCCGUGCCAGCAGCCGCGGUAAUACGGAGGAUGCGAGCGUUAUCCGGAUUUAUUGGGUUUAAAGGGUGCGCAGGCGGAUGUGAAAGUCAGCGGUAAAAUUUCGGGGCUCAACCCCGUACUGCCGUUGAAACUGGAUGCCUUGAGUGUGCUUGAGGUAGGCGGAAUGCGUGGUGUAGCGGUGAAAUGCAUAGAUAUCACGCAGAACUCCGAUUGCGAAGGCAGCAUACC